GCAGUGAGGCGCCGCCACACACCCGUUACGACGGCCGUAAUCAAGCAGACGGCAGUGAGGCGCCACCACACACCCGUUAGGACGUCUGUAAUCAAGAAGACAGCACAGGUGUUGGCAAGAGUCGGGGGUGUUGGAGAAAUUGGAACGCUCAUACACUCCAGGGGCCUCUCCGAGUUUCUUGCUGAAGACAUCCACGGGUCUUAACGAGGCCGGUCCACCGCAGUCCUGUGAUUCGAGGCACAAAUUACUAAAAAUGGAAACUUCUCUGUUCCUGAAGUCCUAUCAGCUAAAACUAGAUGAAUUCUCCAAAAGGAGCCUUGCGUCUGAUGUGUGGGCCACACAAAAAGUUCACUGUACCCCCCAGUGCCAUAAUCAGAGACAUUCAAACGGCAAACCAGGUCGCGAAUAGGACGUUUCAUGCUGUAGACGGCUUUCCCCAGACGCCAGAACAGGACUCCUGUCACGAUGACGCUCGUACCCAUCUCAGUGCCCACCUCUCCCAUGGGGCAGGACAGUGGUGUCGCUGAACUUCCACGAUCCAUGGCUUCUGCUGGAACUCCACAGAACCUGACCCAGGAGAUCCCUUAGUCUCUGCUGGUUAAGUAAGGAAAUGCCUGUGCUGUUGCUAACACCACGUGCUGUACCUGGAGAAACUCCUCUGGGAAAGCUGAGACCCACAUGCACAAAAUAAGAAAACAGGCCACAGGGUCGUAGCCGGUGUCACCCACCAUGUGGUCAUCUGAUUUAUUCCCUUGGUUGCCUUUACGCCUGGGUUCGUGACAAAGCCAUUAUGCAAACUGGGAUUGCCACAUUACUAUUAAUUUUACCUUGCAUUUCCCCUUUUUAAGCUUUGCGUUUGUUCCUUGUUAAAUUUUGAAGUACAACUCCUAGCAGAAUCAUGCUGGCCCAGCGCGUCAAGAUGACAGCAAGGGACUCCAAAGCAGACAAAACUGAACUCAGUAACGGGU